AACCUGCUCGCCAUGGUGACGAAGGUGAAAGGGAAACUUAUUAUGUUAAUGUCCCCAAGAAAGUCAUACCUCACUAGACGGAACUGUAUAAGUCCCUUUUAAGAGGUUUUGUAUUUUUACCCUACGAUGAAUAAAGAAUAAACUUUUCUUGCAGAGCAGAUAAAACCCUAAACCUUUCUCGUGUGUGUGUGUUAAGCAGUCGUGAGAGAAACUCUUUUCUUAUCAAUUCAUUCCAUUGAAUUUGUGGCGACCAUGUUUCCAUCUUUCACCCAUCUAUCUAGCUUGAGAGAGAUACACAUCCAUCAAGCUUGAUUCCAUCUCGUUCAUCAUUCCAUCCACUAAUCCAUUUGAGAGAGAUACACGUCCAACAACUUGAUCCCAUCUCCAUCAAUCUAUCCUUCAGUUUCCAUUCUCCAUCUCUAUCUACCACCAUCCAUAUUCCGACCACCGAUCCAUCUCCAAUUUCAUCAGAUGAUCCGUCAUCAUCCUUCUCUAUUUACGUUAAUUUAUUCUCUGUUUUCAUCAGCAUAAUCUCAUAUUGUUUUGUUUCUUUGUUUCAGGUACAGAGCAAUCAUUCUCUCACCCAUAUCCGUUUGACCAUAGCUCUUGUCGAACCAAAUUUGAACCUCUGUCGACCCGAUUGUAUAGUCCUGAUUUUGGGCUGUAUCAUAACUGAUCAGCUUCUAAAGUAAUGAUGGAUAUAUGGAUCGUAAAACUAUAGUCUCCGUUGUGAAUAUACAAAUGUAACACCAGGUGUAUAUGUUUUCAUUCCACGAUCAACAAAAUUGUCGUACCAAUCACAAUAAAAGACAAUUCACCUCAAUUCAUUCCUGGGUAUUGGAUUUCAAAAUUUUCACUUAGAACACCGUAGUACACAUUGUCACCAGAUGUGGGAAAAACACCAAAAUCAGAAGUUUUCCUUGGACGGCUUUCUUUGAACAUAUCCUCGAGUGUAAAAUCUCGGAUUUGACUUCACUACAUAGUUUGGUUCACACACAAACUCAUGUAACCAAUUUGGAAAUAUUCCACCUCUAAUCGAACAUGUUGUUGCCUAUAAACAAUAAGUGUUUUAUAGUUAAAGACAAUGUAGAAUAUUAGUUUUAUAAAUAUUUUACUCACCCUACAUAAUCACAAAGACAUCCCGAAAUUCUUUUUACUUCACAAGUUCAAGACGAUUUUCGGUGGCAUCUCUGUAAGUAAAGUGCAUGUGUCAUGUAAAUCGUCUAUGAACAGUAAAUAUGUUGCACAACUGGUAAAUAUAACUUAAUUAGUUAUAUUUUUAAAAAAUACAUUUGUAUGUACCUCU
rnacentral:lncRNA from 1 species